AGCUUUCUAGAUCCGUGCUGAGAUUUCGUCAGACACCAGACCAUCAGGAAUGAUGAGACUCAUGAAGUGGAGCA
rfam:Schistosoma margrebowiei strain Zambia genome assembly, scaffold: SMRZ_scaffold0001130